GGGCCCGCACAAGCGGUGGAGCAUGUUGGUCAAUUGGAUGAUACGCCAAGAACCUUACCAGGGUUUGACAUGUUUGGGACAGCUGGUGAAAGCCAGUCUCCGUAGCAAUACGGCCCAUUCACAGGUGGUGCAUGGUUGUCGUCAGCUCGUGUCGUGAGAUGUUGGGUUAAGUCCCGCAACGAGCGCAACCCUCGCCGGAUGUUGCCAUCGGUAACGCCGGGAACUCUUCCGGGACUGCCCGAGUAAUCGGGAGGAAGGAGGGGACGACGUCAAAUCGGCAUGCCCCUUACACCCUGGGCUGCAAACGUGCUACAAUGGCCGGUACAAAGGGUUGCCAAGCCGCGAGGUGGAGCCAAUCCCCCAAAACCGGUCCCAGUUCGGAUUGGGUGUCUGCAACUCGACCCCAUGAAGGCGGAAUCGCUAGUAACCGUGGAUCAGCAACGCCACGGUGAAUACGUUCCCGGGCCUU
rnacentral:rRNA from 1 species